CCUACGGGUGGCUGCAGUGGGGAAUAUUGGACAAUGGGCGAAAGCCUGAUCCAGCCAUGCCGCGUGUGUGAAGAAGGCCUUCGGGUUGUAAAGCACUUUCAGUGGGGAAGAAAGCCUUGGGGCUAAUACCCUCGAGGAAGGACAUCACCCACAGAAGAAGCACCGGCUAACUCCGUGCCAGCAGCCGCGGUAAUACGGAGGGUGCGAGCGUUAAUCGGAAUUACUGGGCGUAAAGCGCGCGUAGGCGGUCUGAUAAGCCGGUUGUGAAAGCCCCGGGCUCAACCUGGGAACGGCAUCCGGAACUGUCAGGCUAGAGUGCAGGAGAGGAAGGUAGAAUUCCCGGUGUAGCGGUGAAAUGCGUAGAGAUCGGGAGGAAUACCAGUGGCGAAGGCAGCCCUCUGGACUGAAACUGACGCUGAGGUGCGAAAGCGUGGGUAGCAAACAGGAUUAGAUACCCGUGUAGUC
rnacentral:rRNA from 1 species